UACGAAGGGUGCAAGCGUUACUCGGAAUUACUGGGCGUAAAGGGUGCGUAGGCGGGUCUUUUAAGUCAGGGGUGAAAUCCUGGAGCUCAACUCCAGAACUGCCUUUGAUACUGAAGAUCUUGAGUUCGGGAGAGGUGAGUGGAACUGCGAGUGUAGAGGUGAAAUUCGUAGAUAUUCGCAAGAACACCAGUGGCGAAGGCGGCUCACUGGCCCGGAACUGACGCUGAGAUGCGAAAGCGUGGGGAGCAAACAGG
rnacentral:rRNA from 1 species